rnacentral:rRNA from 1 species
AAACCAGCACCUCAAGUGGUCAGGAUGAUUAUUGGGCCUAAAGCAUCCGUAGCCGGCUCUGUAAGUUUUCGGUUAAAUCUGUAUGCUUAACAUACAGGCUGCCGGGAAUACUGCAGAGCUAGGGAGUGGGAGAGGUAGACGGUACUCGGGAGGAAGUGGUAAAAUGCUUUGAUCUCUCGAUGACCACCUGUGGCGAAGGCGGUCUACCAGAACACGUUCGACGGUGAGGGAUGAAAGCUGGGGGAGCAAACCGGAUUAGAAACCCCGGUAGUCC